rnacentral:rRNA from 1 species
UGGGGAAUCUUCCGCAAUGGACGAAAGUCUGACGGAGCAACGCCGCGUGAACGAUGACGGCCUUCGGGUUGUAAAGUUCUGUUAUACGGGACGAAUGGCGUAGCGGUCAAUACCCGUUACGAGUGACGGUACCGUAAGAGAAAGCCACGGCUAACUACGUGCCAGCAGCCGCGGUAAUACGUAGGUGGCAAGCGUUGUCCGGAAUUAUUGGGCGUAAAGGGCGCGCAGGCGGCGUCGUAAGUCGGUCUUAAAAGUGCGGGGCUUAACCCCGUGAGGGGACCGAAACUGCGAUGCUAGAGUAUCGGAGAGGAAAGCGGAAUUCCUAGUGUAGCGGUGAAAUGCGUAGAUAUUAGGAGGAACACCAGUGGCGAAAGCGGCUUUCUGGACGACAACUGACGCUGAGGCGCGAAAGCCAGGGGAGCAAACGGGA